AAACUUUGUAAGGCUCCUGUCUUUCAUUUUUUAAUGAGAGAAUAGUUGUCUGUGAGGGAGAUAACCUAUGUAAAUCAGGCAGCUUGUCUAUUGUUAAGCAGCAGAAUGAUCAUUCAAUCAAUCAAUAGGGGAAUACAUUGGGGGCGUGGGACUUGAAUGUGGGUCUCCAGAUCACCACGUCCGUCCACUGACCACUCAGCCAGCACCUCCCCAAAAUGCACUGUGCAUGGCUGACAUUACAGUAAUAAAGACAACACUAUAAAAUAUAAACUCCAACAUGUUGUAAUUGUUAGCACGCCCCCAACUGCAAAUCCCGGUCUGAGUUUGAACCCCAACCUGGACAAUCUGUGUGCAGCUCACUGAGCUGUUCAUCCUCCCUUUCAGGCUGGUAGAUGAAAGGACACCUGGGGAAGGUAAACUGUGGUAACCGAGAUGUCACAUGUACUUGCCCUUUAUCCCAGGGUCAUGAUUGUCUCACCCACUACCACAGGCUCAAAGGAAGUAUGAAGCUGGUGACCUUGAUGUUGCCAGCUGAUACUUUGGAAAGCUUCUGUUGGAUGACUUCCUAAUACCCAAGUAAGUGUUGGCAAGGGACGGGGCAAGGAUGUACGCCCGCCUGACUCCUUAAUCAACUCGUAGGAAAGGGACAUGAUGCAUAUCCUCCACACUUCAAAGCACUCUCACUCUAAAAAGGAGUCUCCCACAGAACAUCAGAAUGAAUGAGUACAUUUACAAGGAACCUUGAAUAUUAUUGAAUAUUGAGUCUUUACAGCAAGUUUUGAACAUAAACCGUGCAGGUAAGACAAUUCAUUAUAUAGAGUAAACCAUGUUCAAUUAAGCAACACACAGCAACUUAAUCUAAACCUAAUCACCCAGGUUUCAGUCACUUGUUUAGGUUAGGGCAAGUUCACAGUGUGAUGUUACACACCACACACACCACAUGCAGCAGGUCCAGAAUUCCUCCUGGUUAGGUCAGUAAAGGAAAAGUUGGGUUGAAAAUAUAAUGGUAGGAAGUGACUGAUAUAUA